rnacentral:rRNA from 1 species
CCUACGGGUGGCAGCAGUGGGGAAUAUUGGGCAAUGGACGAAACCCUGAUCCAGCUACGCCGCGUGAAUGAUGAAGGUCUUCGGUUUGUAAAGUUCUUUUUUAAGGGACGCAGAAAGUGACGGUACUUUAGGAAUAAGCCUCGGCUAACUACAUGCAAGCAGCCGCGGUAAUACGUAGGAGGCGAGCGUUAGCCGGAAUGACUGGGCGUAAAGGGUGAGUAGGUGGUUUGGCAAGUUAGUAGCGAAACUCCCAGGCUCAACCUUGGAACUACUGCUAAAACUGUUGGACUUGAGUGCAGGAGGGGCAAGCGGAAUUCCUAGUGUAGCGGUGAAAUGCGUAGAUAUUAGGAAGAACACCAGUGGCGAAGGCAGGUUGCUAGACUGUAACUGACGCUGAGGCACGAAAGCGUGGGGAGCAAACAGGAUUAGAUACCCGUGUAGUC